rnacentral:rRNA from 1 species
ACACGACUACAUUAGAUACCCGGGUAGUCCCAGCCCUAAACGAUGCGCGUUAGGUGUAUCGGUGACCACGAGUCACCGAGGUGCCGAAGGGAAACCGUGAAACGUGCCGCCUGGGAAGUACGGUCGCAAGGCUGAAACUUAAAGGAAUUGGCGGGGAGCACCACAACGGGUGGAGCCUGCGGUUUAAUUGGAUUCAACGCCGGAAAUCUUACCGGGACCGACAGCAACAUGAAGGCCAAGCUGAAGACUUUGCCGGAUUAGCUG